UGGGGAAUAUUGGACAAUGGAGGAAACUCUGAUCCAGCAAUUCUGUGUGUGUGAAGAAGGUUUUAGGACUGUAAAACACUUUUAGUAGGGAAGAAAAAAAUGACGGUACCUACAGAAGAAGCAACGGCUAAAUACGUGCCAGCAGCCGCGGUAAUACGGAAGGUCCAGGCGUUAUCCGGAUUUAUUGGGUUUAAAGGGAGUGUAGGCGGUUGGUUAAGCGUGUUGUGAAAUGUAGAUGCUCAACAUCUGACUUGCAGCGCGAACUGGCUGACUUGAGUACACACAACGUAGGCGGAAUUCAUGGUGUAGCGGUGAAAUGCUUAGAUAUCAUGAAGAACUCCGAUUGCGAAGGCAGCUUACGGGAGCGCAACUGACGCUGAAGCUCGAAGGUGCGGGUAUCGAACAGG
rnacentral:rRNA from 1 species